rnacentral:rRNA from 1 species
CGCGGUCGCCUGUUUAUCAAAAACAUAGCCUAACAGAAUAAUAUUUUAGGUUUAGCCUGCCCAGUGUAAUAAUAAACGGCCGCAGUACUUUGACUGUGCAAAGGUAGCAUAAUAAAUUGGCUUUUAAUUGAAGUCGUGAAUGAAAGGUUCAAUGGAGAUAAUCUGUCUUUUAUAUAAUAAGUUUAAAUUGCUAAAUAGGUGAAAAUACCUAUAAGUGAAAAUAAGACGAGAAGACCCUUAGAAUUUUUAUAAAUAGAGAAUAACUCUUACAUAUUUGUUGGGGCAACACUGUUGGCUAACCAACAGUGAUUAUAUAUGCAAGACCAUUAUUUUUAGAAAGAUAAAUUACCUAAGGGAUAACAGCAUAAUUUAAAAAAGAUUGUGACCUCGAUGUUGGACUAAGGCCAUUUUUCAUUAGACAUAAAAAAUGAUAGUUC